GUAGGGAAUAUUGGUCAAUGGACGAAAGUCUGAACCAGCCAUUCCGCGUGCAGGAAGAAGAUUCUAUGGAUUGUAAACUGCUUUUAGCAGAGAAGAAACGCCUUCAUUGAUGAGGGUUUGACGGUAUCUGCGGAAUAAGCACCGGCUAACUCCGUGCCAGCAGCCGCGGUAAUACGGGGGGUGCAAGCGUUAUCCGGAAUCACUGGGUUUAAAUGGUGCGUAGGCGGGAAAUUAAGUCAGUGGUGAAAGUCUGUUGCUUAACGAUAGAAUUGCCGUUGAUACUGAUUUUCUUGAAUUGGGUUGAGGUUAGCGGAAUGUGACAUGUAGCGGUGAAAUGCAUAGAUAUGUCAUGGAACACCAAUUGCGAAGGCAGCUAGCUGGGCCUUGAUUGACGCUGAGGCACGAAAGCGUGGGUAGCGAACAGGAUUAGAAACCCUGGUAGUCC
rnacentral:rRNA from 1 species